GCCUGCGAUGGCGUUCACGUCCAUCUCGCUCAUCAUCACUGACACGUCCUUGUUAUCUGGAAAGAGCACGGAAAUGCAGCGGCCUCCUUGAAGAUCCUGAUAAAUGAAGAAAAGACACAGAGAAGGAUGUGACAUGCCUGGGCCAUGGAGCACUCUGAGAUCUCAUCGGGGACACCACUGCCCACACCUCCAUCCCGUCCUGCGCAGGCCGACACUCACUGACGUUGAAGCCUGCCUUCAGUGCCUGGAUGUCUGCGGCCACCCCAGACAUGCGGAACCUUUCAAGCGGCCAGAACCCCUGCGAAUCACACAUGACCUUUGCGGGAAGGUCAGGAGGCCUGUCUAAGUCAAGUCAGCACGGGAAGGGCAUCUGACAGAUUCCAGGCCUGGGGUUAGCAGCCUGUGCCCCCGGCUGGGAGGUCAGACCCGGUGUUGGUCCUGCCACCCACGUGCUGUGUGAGAGGAGAAACCCUGACCCCUGCCCUGGGCCUUAACACACAUCCGACGAAUGAAUGAAGGGUUGCCUCAGCACCGGUGCUCCAAGUCCUGCGAUGCUAAGUGCUUUUCUCCUCUGAGUCUUAGCAAUGGACAAUUCCAAUACCUCCACACAGGACACUAGAGCAGGAAACUGCAUAUCUUCUGGUUUACAUGAAGAUGGAGUGCUAAUGGAAAUGCCCAAAACCUUCAGAGAUUGACACGCUGUCAUUUUCCAUUUCCGUUCCUGGAUCUACGGAGUCUUCUAAGAGAUUUUGCAAUGAGGAGAAGCACUGUUUUCAAACUAUAUAACUGAGCCUUAUUUAUAAUUAGGGAUAUUAUCAAAAUAUGUAACCAUGAGGCCCCUCAGGUCCUGAUCAGUCAGAAUGGAUGCUUUCACCAGCAGACCCGGCCAUGUGGCUGCUCGGUCCUGGGUGCUCGCUGCUGUGCGAGACAUUAGCCCUUUAGUUAUGAGCCUGUGGGAACUUCAGGGGUUCCCAGUGGGGAGAGCAGUGGCAGUGGGAGGCAUCUGGGGGCCAAAGGUCAGUGGCAGGGGGUAUUUCAGUAUUAUACAACUGCUGUGACCAGACUUGUAUACUGGCUGAAUAUCAGUGCUUUUUGUAAUUUUUCACUUUGAGAACCAACAUUAAUUCCAUAUGAAUCAAGUGUUUUGUAACUGCUAUUCAUUUAUUCAGCAAAUAUUUAUUGAUCAUCUCUUCUCCAUAAGAUAGUGUGAUAAACACAGUCAUGAAUAAAGUUAUUUUCCACAAAA
rnacentral:lncRNA from 1 species